GACGAACGCUGGCGGCGUGCUUAACACAUGCAAGUCGAACGGAAAGGCCCUGCUUGCAGGGUACUCGAGUGGCGAACGGGUGAGUAACACGUGGGUGAUCUGCCCUGCACUUCGGGAUAAGCUUGGGAAACUGGGUCUAAUACCGGAUAGGAGCCAUCUUUAGUGUGGUGGUUGGAAAGUUUUUUCGGUGUAGGAUGAGCUCGCGGCCUAUCAGCUUGUUGGUGGGGUAAUGGCCUACCAAGGCGGCGACGGGUAGCCGGCCUGAGAGGGUGUACGGCCACAUUGGGACUGAGAUACGGCCCAGACUCCUACGGGAGGCAGCAGUGGGGAAUAUUGCACAAUGGCGCAAGCCUGAUGCAGCGACGCCGCGUGGGGGAUGAAGGCCUUCGGGUUGUAAACUCCUUUCGCUAGGGACGAAGCUUUGUUGUGACGGUACCUAGAGAAGAAGCACCGGCUAACUACGUG
rnacentral:rRNA from 1 species